CGCUUUUAAAACCUACGGUAACAUGCUUGCAUGCAUGCUAAAACAUACAGAAGCAUGCACGUUAGCAUACACGCUAGCUUGCACGCUAGCAUACAUGAUAGCAUGCACGUGAACGUAUUAAAAAAGGCAGCGGCAGCAAAACUGAGUCAGACUUUGUACUUUAAGAAUUUUACAAAGUAUCGUUACUCAUGGGUUUUUUUUCAUGUUUUUGUUUAUGAGGUUGUUAUGGUCAAAUAACAACCUCUGAACUAUACAUAAUUCCUUAUAUAUAUAUUUCUUCCCAGGUUCAAGCCUGAUCAUUUUUCUUGUGUGUUUUUUUUCUUAUUUCUGUUGCGGGAACAGUCUGUGUAUGUGGACCCUAACUAUUUGCUUUUUUGUCCUUUUACUUUCUCACUAGAUCAAAGAAGAGUUCUGACUUAUAACGACAGUUUCCUUGGAGGAGACAUUCAUGCUGAAACUUGAUGAGUACACACCAGGUCUUUUGCGGCUUAUGCGUGCUAAAGGAGGAGCUGCUGGUUCCAAGAUAUACCCUCUGCUCGACACUUUAAAUGACACACAGGGCAUUGAGAAGAAAAGGGAUGCGGUUGUCUGCUGCCUCAUUGACUACCUCGGUGAAAGAUGAGAAGAUCUUUUCCAUGACUGCCAGAAUGUGAGGACUACACACACAAAACGAUUAAGGUGAUCGUGAUGCACAAUAUCAUGGGUGAGGAGGAUCCGUCAGAUGUCUCUAUUGUGAUGGAAGGAUGUUGAAGCCGAACAAAAGCAUGUGUACUGCUGAUGGGAGUCAUGGGACUGAUAUAUGCCCUCAACCUCGAAUAUCCAAAGCAGCUGAAGAACACGUUUGAAGCUUUUCAAAAGCUUUUUUUGGAACUUGAUGGAGCAAAACUACUAAGAAGGUACACAGUCUCAAAAAUAAGCUCAUGCAAUAGACACACAUUUCCUCUCUUGUUCCAAGAGGAUGACCUUCCUCUUCCUCUCCAUAUGUUUCUUUUUUUCUCAUCCUAUCUCCGAGAGUGACAGCAAGCACAGAAACUAAACAAUGUUGUUCAUCUAUCUGUUUUAUCUUUAUCCAGAUGUUCGAUACUGUACAUGCACAGGAACAACUUUGUUGAGUUUGCAUGUGUGCAUUUGUGAGUUAUUCAGAAACUUUAUUUUAAGCUGUUAGCUUUUUGAGUUAUUAAACGGGUUUAUUUCUUUGAAAUGUUACGUUUCUGUAUUCUGUAUUUUUUUAUCAUUUGGUUGAUCGUUGCUGCAUGUAUACACGUUGGUUCAGUCAUUUGUUGUAUAAAUGCACCUGGACUGCGUAUUUUGUCAGUCACUGUUGUGUAAAGCUGAAGUAAGAGUUGUUUAGUUGAACUCAUAUCCACCAUGUGACUGUCAACUAUCACAGUGUACUUACAUCCUGUAACACAGACGACAGCUGUCUCUUUACUUAUGUUAUUUUAAGUAUGAAGAUGAAUACAGCAGAAGAUAUCCAUGUGUAUCUAUACCAGGGGUGCCCAAUCCCGGUCCUCGAGAGCCCCUAUCCAGCUUGUGUCUCCCUCCUUUAACACACCUGAAUCAAAUGAUCAGCUCAUCAGCAAGCUCUGCAGCAGCCUGAUAACGAUCCUGAUUAGUUGAUUCAGGUGUGUUAGAGGAGGGAGACAUGGAAAACAAGCUGGAUAGGGAUUGGGCACCCCUGAUCUAUACCAUCACUUUCUAGAGGCCCUGUGAUUGUAAUGCAAAAAAAAAUUAUCAA